GACGAACGCUGGCGGCGUGCUUAACACAUGCAAGUCGAACGGAAAGGCCCUGCUUUUGUGGGGUGCUCGAGUGGCGAACGGGGGAGUAACACGUGAGUAACCUGCCCUUGACUUUGGGAUAACUUCAGGAAACUGGGGCUAAUACCGGAUAGGAGCUCCUGCUGCAUGGGGGGGGUUGGAAAGUUUCGGCGGUGUGGGAUGGACUCGAGGCUUAUCGGCUUGUUGGUGGGGUAGUGGCUUACCAAGGCUUUGACGGGUAGCCGGCCUGAGAGGGUGACCGGCCACAUUGGGACUGCGAUACGGCCCAGACUCCUACGGGCGGCAGCAGUGGGGAAUAUUGCACAAUGGGCGGAAGCCUGAUGCAGCAACGCCGCGUUCGGGAUGCCGGCCUUCGGGUUGUAAACCGCUUUCGCCUGUGACGAAGCGUGAGUGACGGUAAUGGGUAAAGAAGCACCGGCUAACUACGUG
rnacentral:rRNA from 1 species